rnacentral:misc_RNA from 1 species
AAGUCGUAACAAGGUUUCCGUAGGUGAACCUGCGGAAGGAUCAUUACAGAGAGGAGCUUCGCGCUCCAGGGGCUUCAGCCCCGACUCUCAACCCUGUGUAUAUCUACCACUGUUGCUUUGGCGGGCCUUGAGGUCAUGCUCAUGCCGGGCUCUGCUCCGGCGAGUGCCCGUCAAAAGCCCCCCUAAAACUCUCUUAUUAGUGUCGUCCGAAUUUUAUAUCUAAAUAAGCAAAAACUUUCAACAACGGAUCUCUUGGUUCUG